AGAGUUUGAUCAUGGCUCAGAAUCAACGCUGGCGGCGUGCCUAACACAUGCAAGUCGAACGAGAAAGCGGUAGCAAUACCGUGAGUACAGUGGCGCACGGGUGAGUAACACGCUGGAUAACCUACCUUUAAGUGGGGAAUAACCCUGGGAAACCGGGGCUAACACCGCAUGAUAUCUCUGAACGAUGUUUGGGGAUUGAAAUUCGUAAGAAGCUUGAAGAGGGGUCCGCGGCUGAUUAGCUAGUUGGUGAGGUAAUGGCCCACCAAGGCUUUGAUCGGUAGCCGGCCUGAGAGGGCGGACGGCCACACUGGAACUGAAACACGGUCCAGACUCCUACGGGAGGCAGCAGUGGGGAAUUUUGCGCAAUGGGGGAAACCCUGACGCAGCAACGCCGCGUGGACGAUGAAGCUUCUUGGAGUGUAAAGUCCUUUCGGCAGGGACGAAUAAAAUGACGGUACCUGCAGAAGAAGCCCCGGCUAACUACGUGCCAGCAGCCGCGGUA
rnacentral:rRNA from 1 species